AAUAAGAUAAUAAAAUAUAUAAAAUAAGAGUUUUGAUAUUUUUCCUAUUAAAAGCUUGUAUCUUCUGUAGUUACAUUGUGUGCUAAGUCCGAUGGAAAGUAAAGAGUUCUGCUUUCUAGGUUGAUUUGGCUUGGAACUAUAUUGUCAUUCCAGCGUAAUAAUCAAGGAACUUUGUUGCUGUACCAUUGCUGCAGCAGGUGCAAUUAUAUUACGCAGCUAGAUAUCUAGCUGGGGACUAUUUUUAUGUAAAUAAGAUAGAAAUAGCUUUCUUAUUUUUAACUCAGUUACUGUCAAAGUAGUUAAAGCAACUGAGUUAAACUGAGUUACUGUUAAAGUAACUGUAACUCAGUUUAACUCAGUUACUUUAACUCAGUUUCUUUUAACAGUAACUCAGUUUAACUCAGUUACUUUAACAGUAACUCAGUUUAACUUAGUUACUUUAUCUCAGUUACUUUAACUCAGUUACUUUAACGGUACCACAGUUUAACUCCGUUACUUUAACGGUACCACAGUUUAACUCAGUUACUUUAACUCAGUUACUUUAACUCAGUUACUUUAAAUGUAACUCAGUGUAACUCAGUUACUUUAACUUAGUUCCUUUACAGUAACUCAGUUUAACUCAGUUACUUUAACUCAGUUACUUUAACGGGAACUAAGUUUAACUCAGUUACUUUAACUCAGUUACUUUAACGGUACCACAGUUUAACUCAGUUACUUUAACUCAGUUUCUUUUUACAGUAACUCAGUUUAACUCAGUUACUUUGACUCAGUUAUUUUAACAGUACCUCAGUUUAACUUUUAGUUACUUUAACUCAGUUAAUUUAAAGGUAACUCAGUUUAACUCAGUUACUUUAACAGUAACUCAGUUUAACUUAGUUACUUUAUCUCAGUUACUUUAACUCAGUUACUUUAACGGUACCACAGUUUAACUCAGUUACUUUAACUCAGUUACUUUAACUCAGUUACUUUAAAUGUAACUCAGUGUAACUCAGUUACUUUAACUUAGUUCCUUUAACAGUAACUCAGUUUAACUCAGUUACUUUAACUCAGUUUCUUUAACAGUAACUCAGUGUAACUCAGUUACUUUAACGGUAACUCAGUUUAACUCAGUUACUUUAACGGUAACUCAGUUUAAUAAGCUUAGACUAUUUUUAGGUGCUGCUAAUAUCAUCGUGCCUGAGUGAUAGUAUAGUUCCUAGCCAUAUCAGCCUUGAAAAUAGCACCUUUUCAUAUUAGGUUGGUCUCAGUAUAUCAUGUAACUACAGAAGAGUCAAGUUUUAAAUAAGAAAAUCAUCGAAAGUCUUUUUUGACAAUUUUUUAAGAAAGAUGCUGAUUUAGUGAUUUAUGCUAAGCUUCGCUAAAAGUGCUGCUGCCAGACCUGGAGGUAAUUUUAGGGGACUUGUAUCCACCACCUCCCCAAAAAAAGGUGGAGUGUUUCUUAAAUGCAUUAACUACUAUUUACAUGUGGAAGAUGCUAACAAUUAAUACCUUUUUAAAAGACACUAGUUCUUAUUCGUUAGAUACUGUAUUUGUUACAAGUGCUUUUACAUUAGGUAGGCAACUAGUACCUAUUUAUUAGAUACUUGUUCUCAUUAUGCACAUACUAGUGCUUCUUCAUUAGAUACUGGUACUUGUUAUUAGCUACUAUUACUUUUUUAUUUGAAACUAUCACCUAUUAGAUAAAUGCUAGGAUUUAUUAAUUAGGAGCUAGUAUUUAUUUCCGUCGUGACAAGUUGCAUUAACGAAUGUCAACACUUGAUUUUGACUAGUAUGUAUUCCACUUUUUACAGGUAAUUAUUUUAUAUACUAAUAGUUAUUUAUCCAGCAACUUAUACUCUUUGGAUACUUGUACCUAUUACAUUGAUAAUUACUUUUAUCUGUCUACUUUCUAUUUAUUUGCACUUACUCAUUACAUAGUACUUAUUGAUCAGCAGCUACGUAUUCAACGCUACUACCUAUCUGAUAUUUAAUUAAUAGUAUGUAAAAAUAUUUACUAGGCACAACUGGAAUUCAUAACUAUUCAAAACUAAAUAGUUAAUAUCUCAUUGAAGUCUCAUUGAAGUCAAUGCGGGAACAAUAUAAUAAUUACUACUCAAUGCUGAAAGAAAUACUAGCUCUUCAAGUACUGGUUUAAUAGUUACUACUGUCUGAUGAAUAAGAACUGUGUAGUAGUAUCACUAGUAGAUAUUAAAUAAGCUCUAGUACUUAAAGGGAAAGAAACUAGUGUCUUAAAAAGUAUUAAUAGCAUGAAAAUAGAUAUUAGUACAUUUUAUUGGUCUAAUGUUAAACUGUUUUCCAUAGCGAACCUUGAUGUGCUUCAAAAGGAUAGUACAGUGUCUGAAACUAGUGUGAAAUCUGGUACUGAUCCCUACAAUGAUCCCAUCUGCAAUGCUCAUUUACGUUCUCUGGUCUGUUGCUCCACCUAGUGGAGAACUGGAGUUUGUAUUUUAUUUUUGGCAGCACUCUUGAUACGAAAACCCUGACAUCUCUCUAAAAUUAGUUUAGGAGAUGGAGAUUGCAUGUAUACUUUGGUUGUGGUGCAUUAUAACAACAUUUACAACCCAUGUGUAAAAUGCUGUCCUAAAGCUUGUAGCCAAAUAUUGAAUUCAAAUAGAAGCCUCUUUUUAAAGCUGUUAUACUCUGUUGUUUUGUUUUCUGCGACACAUUUUUCUCGUAUAGGUCCUGUAGUUUAUAAAAGUACAGACAUUUAUUUGUUUUUAUUUUUGAUCUUUAUAGGCAUUAUUCUCGCUGUUUAGACCCAGUUAAAGAGACAGUUCACUCAAAAAUGUCAAUUUAGGAACAUUUCACGCAGACAAAGUCAGGUCAUCUUUGAAACACCUCUCGGGUAGUUUGCUCGGGCAUUCAGUCUGACAAUAAAAUUUAAUUUUAGGAACUCCGAUUAAAAUUAAACAACAACAACUGUGUUCUUAGUGUCUUUUACAAACGUCCGAAUCGCACAAAAUCUGCAGAAACUCCCGACUGGUUCGAGUCCCUACCCUUGAGAUUCGUCAUUCUAUAGCGAUGGCUGAUUGGCUCCUGUACUUGAAGGCGGGGCUUCAUUCACCAUAUUGACCGUUAGACUUUUCCCUAUUCAAAACGAGUGACAUGUCUUGUAUAUUCUAUAAGCUGUGUCUCAUUUCAGAGGCUGCAUCCUCCGAAGGAUGCACACUUCAAAGGGGAGUCCUUCGAAGUCCACACAGGCUGAACCGAGCGUCUUGAAAUGAGACAAUCUUGCCUACAAAGGACAAAUCUUGUCACCAGGCAACUGUUACAUCUGGUGUUAAUAAGCGCUGAUAAUUUUUUUAAAAACUUUUUAUAUAUUUAAGUGAUUUUAAAACUUAUUUUAAGCGAUCUGAAGGCAAAAUAAGGUUUAUAAAAGCUGGAAAUAUAUGUUUAAUCUAUAUAACAAUAUAUAUAUAUAUAUAUAUAUAUAUAUUGAUCCAUACACAUAAACAUGUAAGCAGUCUAUAAAAUCACUCUUUAGUAAGACAUGUCAUACUCUUUUUGUUUUUUAACAUGUGUUUAGAUAUCCACAUAAAAAAAAAACUUCUUUUAAAAACGUCCUGCCGUUAUCAGCACCCAAUAAAUCUUGGGACGUUCAAGGCCGCGAAGGAUCCACCGGUUGUGUCCUUCAGUACCUGGAAAACGAAGGAUGCAAUUCGAGGCUGCGUUUAAAGAAGCCUUCGGAUUUAUUUGAUUUAAGACAGCCUUCGUCGCACUGCGAUGACGCAGUGCACUUCGAAUGCAUCCUUCGUAGGAUGCAGCCUAUGAAAUGAGACACAACUACAAAACAGUUCUUUGUUUGUUUUUAAAGCGCCACCUUUGUUGACGUGAAUCAGUUGUCAUACCAACUUGCUACUGUAAACAGAAGCUUGCAGUGGUUUCCCCGCCUCUGAGUUCUUCUGAUUGGUCCACUGCUUUGCAAUCAACAUUAAUGAGCUAUGAGUCGUGUAACUUUGAAAAACGCGACCACAAAAGACGUGACAUGGGAGCAUAAAGAUCGAGCAUGUUCAUAUAUCAAAACAAUAGAAAAGUAACACACUAGAAUGGUAAAAUUCUUUGUGAAUGGCCCCUUAUUUACAAUCAACAGUUUCAAACCUGUAUGAGUUUCCUUUUUUUCUGUUCAAAACAAAAUAAGAUAUUUCAAAGAAUGUUGGUAACAG